CCUACGGGAGGCAGCAGUGGGGAAUUUUGGACAAUGGGCGAAAGCCUGAUCCAGCAAUGCCGCGUGUGGGAAGAAGGCCUUCGGGUUGUAAACCACUUUUGUACGGAACGAAAAGGUCUGCUUUAAUAAAGCGGGCUCAUGACGGUACCGUAAGAAUAAGCACCGGCUAACUACGUGCCAGCAGCCGCGGUAAUACGUAGGGUGCGAGCGUUAAUCGGAAUUACUGGGCGUAAAGCGUGCGCAGGCGGUUAUAUAAGACAGUUGUGAAAUCCCCGGGCUCAACCUGGGAAUUGCAUCUGUGACUGUAUAGCUAGAGUACGGUAGAGGGGGAUGGGAUUCCGCGUGUAGCAGUGAAAUGCGUAGAUAUGCGGAGGAACACCGAUGGCGAAGGCAAUCCCCUGGACCUGUACUGACGCUCAUGCACGAAAGCGUGGGGAGCAAACAGGAUUAGAUACCCUGGUAGUCCACGCCCUAAACGAUGUCAACUGGUUGUUGGGUGCAUUAGUACUCAGUAACGAAGCUAACGCGUGAAGUUGACCGCCUGGGGAGUACGGCCGCAAGGUUGAAACGUCAAAGUAUAGUGCGNGAGAGAGCGACGACGACGACGACGGAGGAGGAGG
rnacentral:rRNA from 1 species